CGUGCCUAACACAUGCAAGUCGAGCGGCAGCGAGUUUUACACUGAAUUCUGGAAGCUUCUGGGUAAUAUAGAAGAUCUAUUCAAGAAUUUUGUGUAAAAUGUCGGCGAGCGGCGGACGGCUGAGUAACGCGUAGGAAUUUGCCCCAAAGUGAGGAAUAACUGCCCGAAAGGGUAGCUAAUGCCGCAUAUGGUCUUCGGAUUAAAGCCUUCGGGCGCUUUGGGAGAAGCCUGCGUUGGAUUAGGUAGUUGGUAGGGUAAUGGCCUACCAAGCCGACGAUCCAUAGCUGGUCUGAGAGGAUGAUCAGCCAGACUGGAACUGAGACACGGUCCAGACUCCUACGGGAGGCAGCAGUGAGGAAUCUUCCACAAUGGGCGAAAGCCUGAUGGAGCAACGCCGCGUGAAGGAUGAAGGCCUUCGGGUUGUAAACUUCUUUUAUGAGUGAAGAAUAUGACGGUAACUCAUGAAUAAGCACCGGCUAACUACGUGCCAGCAGCCGCGGUCAUACGUAGGGUGCAAGCAUUAUCCGGAGUGACUGGGCGUAAAGAGUUGCGUAGGCGGUUUAAUAAGUGAAUAGUGAAACCUGGUGGCUCAACCAUACAGACUAUUAUUCAAACUGUUAAACUCGAGAAUGGUAGAGGUAACUGGAAUUUCUAGUGUAGGAGUGAAAUCCGUAGAUAUUAGAAGGAACACCGAUGGCGUAGGCAGGUUACUGGGCCAUUUCUGACGCUAAGGCACGAAAGCGUGGGGAGCGAACCGGAUUAGAUACCCGGGUAGUCCACGCCGUAAACGAUGGAUACUAGCUGUUGGAGGUAUCGACCCCUUCAGUAGCGAAGCUAACGCGUUAAGUAUCCCGCCUGUGGAGUACGGCCGCAAGGCUAAAACAUAAAGGAAUUGACGGGGACCCGCACAAGCGGUGGAUUAUGUUCUUUAAUUCGAUGAUAACCGAAGAACCUUACCAGGGCUUGACAUCCAGGGAAGGUCUGCGAAAGUAGACUGUGCCUUUUGGAACCCUGUGACAGGUGAUGCAUGGCCGUCGUCAGCUCGUGUCGUGAGAUGUUAGGUUAAGUCCUUCAACGAGCGCAACCCUUGUGAAUAGUUGUAUUUUUCUAUUCAGACUGCCCCGGUAACGGGGAGGAAGGAGGGGAUGAUGUCAGGUCAGUAUUUCCCUUACG
rnacentral:rRNA from 1 species